UACGUAGGCAGCAAGCGUUGUUCGGAGUUACUGGGCGUAAAGGGUGUGUAGGCGGUUUUAAGUUUGGUGUGAAAUCUCCCGGCUCAACUGGGAGGUGCGCCGAAUACUGAAAGACUAGAGUGCGGGAGAGGAAAGUGGAAUUCCUGGUGUAGCGGUGAAAUGCGUAGAUAUCAGGAGGAACACCGGUGGUGUAGACGGCUUUCUGGACCGUAACUGACGCUGAGAACACGAAAGCGUGGGUAGCAAACAGG
rnacentral:rRNA from 1 species